GAUCAUUUUUGUGCCAGUAGUUGGAUGAUGCCUUUUCAUUUGGAGGCUCCCUCACUGAAUAUGAUUUGGGAUUCCUGAAAGUUCUUCCCAGCCCACUGUAAUCUGAGCCAUGUGUCCUCUUAGUAAACCCCUUUCUGUUCAAACUAGCUGGAGCAUAUUCUGCAGUUUGUCACUGAGAACCUUGACCAGUACCAUGCAAAGCACAUGUUUCUAGGGAAACCAACCUUGGACUUUGCCAACUUGUCGACAGGCUUUGUGAUCCAAAAAAGGCUUCACAUCUCUGGCUCAAAGGAUGGGAAAUGGAGGAAGAGCCUGAAAGGGAACAGUAAGAUCUAUGAGGGAGGCGCUGGCCAGGCCAUUCUGAGAAGAGUUGUUAUUUGUGAUCCAGGACUCAGGAUGGGAGCAGGGUACAGCUGGAGAGGUUUGAAGAAGUGUGUCAAAGAGAAGCAAAGAAAAAUCAAGAACUCUUCCCAAGAGACACAAGAUCUGAGUCUGAGGAGAAGCAGGAAGCUAGCCCCAAAACCAGAGCAUGAACCCAGCAAGUCAGGCUCAAAAGAAGCCAAGACUGAAACCUGGAUUUGCUGAGAUUGGACUAGACUUUUGAUGUAGCAUGAAUUGCCUCAAGGUAUCUGCAUUCUUUAAACAGAAUAAGACGUGCAGAAAUGACUCAUCACUGCAGUCAAAACUUUCUUCUGGGGAUUUAACCUACUUUUCUAUUUCAAAACUUGCACAGACUUUUCAGCCUCCCACUGCAGACUCUUUGGCCUCUUGAUAUGGA
rnacentral:lncRNA from 1 species